GUGGGGAAUCUUGCGCAAUGGGCGAAAGCCUGACGCAGCCAUGCCGCGUGAAUGAUGAAGGUCUUAGGAUUGUAAAAUUCUUUCACCGGGGACGAUAAUGACGGUACCCGGAGAAGAAGCUCCGGCUAACUUCGUGCCAGCAGCCGCGGUAAUACGAAGGGGGCUAGCGUUGCUCGUAAUUACUGGGCGUAAAGGGCGCGUAGGCGGACAGCUUAGUCAGAGGUGAAAGCCCAGGGCUCAACCUUGGAAUUGCCUUUGAUACUGGCUGUCUUGAGUACGGGAGAGGUGAGUGGAACUCCGAGUGUAGAGGUGAAAUUCGUAGAUAUUCGGAAGAACACAAGUGGCGAAGGCGACUCACUGGCCCGUUACUGACGCUGAGGCGCGAAAGCGUGGGGAGCAAACAGGAUUAGAUACCCUUGUAGUCC
rnacentral:rRNA from 1 species